GGUACACUGGUAACCACCCCAGUACCUUUGUCCAUUAAGAUGGACAACAUAGGAAGUGCAUAAAUAACCUCGUAAAAUGCAAGAGGUGAUUUCAACGGAAGCCCAAUCAAGUCAUGACCGGUGACUUCAAGCAAACAUGAUGGUUUCUCAGGGACCCGUGAAUGGUUCUGGUAAGCAAGGUUAAGAGCUGCUCUUUGCGCCAUAACGAACACCUCGGUUUCAUUUAUUUCAAAGGCUCCAUACUUGCCAUCAGGCAACACCCAUGCAUUGGUUUGACCAUACAUAGUCUCAGGUCUCAAAGUUGCAGCGGCAAAAAACACCUUCUUUCCCUCCAAAACCUUAAAUUUCUCAGGGAAAGGCUUUAACAAUUCCAUCUUGAUAAUAGUGUACUCUUGUGGCAAAACCCCUUCACCGCUGGCUCUAUCGUGAUCAGCACAUGGCUGACCAUCUAAUGGUGAAAAAAUCGUAUACCUAACAUCUUUAACAACCUUCCCCAAAGACUUCAAUUUCCUCAUUUGCCACCUAACAAAAGAGUCAUAAUAUGGGUUCAAAUCAGUUGUAAUGAAUGACCUUCUCCAAUCACAACCUAACCCAAAAGCCUUAAGGUCCUCAGCGGCCAAUGGAGGAAAAAACUUAAGCCACUCAUAAGGGUCCUGAAAUUUUGCUAUAUCACUAUCAGAUAUACCAACACUACGCAUAAUUUCCCACUGGUAAACUUGACCACCCGAUUUAGCAGCAGCUUUAGAUUUCUUCCCUUUGAAUUUAUCAGGAGCAGUCUCAUUCUGCGAAUUAUCGUCAUUCUUUUCUUCUAUUACUUCUUCCGAUUGGCCUGGGAAAACCGGCGGGUUACCGAAUUGCUGAAUCUCUCUUGCAAGCUUAUCAGCCGAUGCUUUAAUAGGCAUGCCAGUGCAAUGAAAAGCGAAAGGAAGGAGCACAUUAGCGCCUUUGAGUCUGUGAAAAGCCGCGGCGAAUUCAAGUUUGGAGAGCGAAAAAGCAUGACCAAGAUGGGUUCAUGUUAGACAGGCACUCCUCAGCUAACUUCCUCCAUUCUGGUUCGCCAUAUGUAAUGUACCACUGAUCCGUUAGAGCUACAACACAUUCAUCACCAGAUCUUGACAUUACCCGCUUCUCUGGCUCACUGUAAACAAUAGCCUGGCCUGCAUGAGCGGAACUAUAAAAUUUAAGUAGUGGAGGGAAAAUGCAUAACAAUAAAAAUAAAAGUUUGUUAAAUAUUAAUAUUUUCAGAUAAAUCACAAUAUUUUAAAAUAACAGGUUUAAUUCUGAUUAAUUACUGAUGCAAAAUUAUAACUCACACAUAUAUACUUGACUAAAAAGUCCAAAUUAAAUUCUAUGAAAUACUAAAUGCUAUAAACAUUGCUAAUCCAAUGAAUGCUAUCAAAUACUAUAUGGCAUCAAAUGUUAAAGCAACAUAUUGUAGAUGUUAUAUAUAGCUAAUCCAUUGAAAGCUGAAUUACUAUAUGGUACCAAAUGUUAAUGUAACGUUAAUUAAUCAAAUGCUGCUACAUUACCAUUCCAUGUAAAUUGCUAUGUUACCUUCCCUUGAAAAUGCUUCAACACCACACUAGCUAAUAGUAGUAAUAACGAGCUAUUAGUUCAGUAAUAAAAAAAAGUCCGGGAGCAUUUGCUGACCUGUUUCCAAAAGCUGGCUCCUAAUGAUGGGUUUAACUUCCUGAACUUUCUUCCCGGCAUAUUCCCCAACUAUCAUUGUUCCUUCAUUGAAUCCCUUUAAAUAUGUUUGCUUCUUGGCCUCUGCAAGCUUUUCUUUCUCAUUCUGACUUUUGAUUUUCAUAUCCAAGCAAACCCGUUCAGCACACUUAUUUCCAAAGGGUGGAACAUCAAUAAUAGGCACAAUCUCAAAUGGCAAAAUCCAUUCAUCCUUCACACCAAACUUCUCUCUAAAUGCUGGUUUUGACUUCAAAUCGUGCAAGGCCAUGUAAUCAUCAGGGGCAUCACUAGGUACACUGGUAACCACCCCAGUACCUUUGUCCAUUAAGAUGGACAACAUAGGAAGUGCAUAAAUAACCUCGUAAAAUGCAAGAGGUGAUUUCAACGGAAGCCCAAUCAAGUCAUGACCGGUGACUUCAAGCAAACAUGAUGGUUUCUCAGGGACCCGUGAAUGGUUCUGGUAAGCAAGGUUAAGAGCUGCUCUUUGCGCCAUAACGAACACCUCGGUUUCAUUUAUUUCAAAGGCUCCAUACUUGCCAUCAGGCAACACCCAUGCAUUGGUUUGAC
rnacentral:lncRNA from 1 species